AUACUUAUAGGGGAGAAACCAUGAUCACAAACAUGGCUUUCCCAGGGCGAGGCUUAUCCAUUGCCCUCCAGAUGUGCUGCUCUUGUGAUUUUCCAGAUGUGGGAAACUCAACUGCAUAAUUUGUGGUAGUGGAGAACUGUGUUCAUGCUUUCCCAC